rnacentral:miRNA from 14 species
GUGUUCAUAUUCCAGUACAGCC